CCUACGGGUGGCAGCAGUAGGGAAUAUUGCUCAAUGGGGGAAACCCUGAAGCAGCAACGCCGCGUGGAGGAUGAAGGUUUUCGGAUUGUAAACUCCUGUUGUUAGAGAAGAUAAUGACGGUAGCUAACGAAUAAGCACCGGCUAACUCCGUGCCAGCAGCCGCGGUAAUACGGAGGGUGCAAGCGUUACUCGGAACCACUGGGCGGAAAGAGCGCGUAGGCGGGAUAGCAAGUCAGAUGUGAAAGCCUAUGGCUUAACCAUAGAACUGCAUUUGAAACUGUUAUUCUAGAGUAUGGGAGAGGUAGGUGGAAUUCUUGGUGUAGGGGUAAAAUCCGUAGAUAUCAAGAGGAAUACUCAUUGCGAAGGCGACCUGCUAGAACAUAACUGACGCUGAUGCGCGAAAGCGUGGGGAGCAAACAGGAUUAGAUACCCUAGUAGUC
rnacentral:rRNA from 1 species